rnacentral:rRNA from 1 species
UGAGGAAUAUUGGUCAAUGGGCGAGAGCCUGAACCAGCCAAGUCGCGUGAGGGACGACGGCCCUACGGGUUGUAAACCUCUUUUGCCGGGGGACAAACGGCGGCACGCGUGCCGUCCUGAGGGUACCCGGAGAAAAGCAUCGGCUAACUCCGUGCC